UCGACUAUUAAAUUGGCUAUAGAUGAAUUGGAGCUCGUAGUUGGCUAUCCUAUUAAACUUGCUCUAAAUGGGUUUAUGGAUCGACCCACUUGUAUAUCUAGAUGCGGUAAACCGAAGCACGACGUGAAAACCCAUAAAUUAUCAUUUAUCCCUUCUUCCUAUAAAGUUAUCCUCCACUAAGUGCAAUUAAUCUCCUAAAACUCACACCUCAAUGUUCCACGUCAUCAUUAAUUCACAACCGUUGGAUCGGUAUAUUAGAUCUCAUCUGAACCGUCGGAUUGAACACAACACGUGAGGCCUAUAUAUUUCUUCCACCACAGGAGGCCCAUGUCAAUCUACCGCAGCCCAGGAGACCCAUGUUAGUCUAUCGCAGCCCAAUGAAGGAUUUAGGGUUCGGUGGGUCUCAUCCUCCUGACUUCCUGAGUCGGAGCGGCGGCGGCGGCGGCGUAGUGCGGCGCGGUCACACGCAGGUGGUGGUAAGGACAGCGCGCGGCGAGGUGGAGCGUCGUGCAUCCUCUUCACUCUUCAGCUCACCAUGAAUAGCAUCCACCGUCUCCCCCCAUCGACCAGGCAUGAUCUCUUCUUCUAUGAUUUUUUUUGUAUGAAACCGAUUCAAUAAUAAUCGUAUUGUCCGUCAAUGAAACCGUCGCCAUCAAAGGGAAGCCGAGGGGCUAUGUUUAAAUUUUAAUACCAUGUUUAAUUCCUUUUUAUGCUCCUUUCACCUAAUGCAUGUUUUUAUUCCACCACUAAUCUCUGCGAUAUCAUCGUUGAUCUAGCUGCUGGCAACAUACGUUUCUAUCAGCAGCUAGCUGUCCUAGCUAGCCUCAUCAGUUUAGCGCAUGGAUGGGAGAUUGGGAGGCGGCACUGCUCGAUGUCUCUCUCACCCUCAUCUUAUCGCCCGCGUCAACGAUAUAUAGCGCCAACCAGGUCCAGGAAGUUAUUAAGUUCUUUGAUGAUACCCAUGUAGCUGACCUUCUUCGAUGAUACUUUGUUCCCAUAUCUGAUUGGUUGAUGUUGAUAUACAUUGCAAUGUGUAGGCACCAAACAAAGCAGUUGUUGUGUUCCUCUACAUAGAGAUUUUUACAUCAUCUCUGAUAUGUCUCAUGUUUCUGUUAAUUAUCUCCUAUCCCAGUCCACUUUCAUGGGCUUUAAAGCUGCACUGCCAGUAAAUUGAGGUGGUAAGCAGCCAUCGAAUCAUCCGCUCCUAAAAUUCUAAGCAUUCGUGACAAGUUAAUAGAUGCUACACUAAGACCUUGACUUUGCAACCUUCAGUCUCUAAUUCUCUGCAUGCAUCAUUUACUCCAGAGUUCUAAUUAACAGGAUUUCAGGUGAAGGCCAUCUGUGGAUCCAAAAUAUAUUGUUCUUUGGCUAAGAUUUUAGGUUGCAACUUCUUUUCCGGAAGCUGAUCUCUAAAGAACUCCGAGGUUAAGCGUGCUUGGCCUAGAGCAAUUUAGGGAUGGGUGACCGAUCGGGAAAUUCUUCCCGAGUGCACAUGAGUAAGCACAAAGUGCGCCGAAAAGACUUGUGUUGCCCUGUGAGGGCAGUCUAUGACCUAUAAAAGCCUGGGAGAGGCGGGACGUUACAAAAUGGUAUCAGAGCCGGGCGCGUAUGUCGCAGUUGCGCAGGCAUGGUGCGCAUGGCUGUUGUGGACCUGGAGUGGUCACAGCAUGGCACAUGCGCUGGCACUGGACACACGGACAUGGCCAAGAGGGGACGUUCCUGGCCUGGGGUUGAUCGACGGGGGCGUCGAUCUCUCUUAAGAGGGUGAGGGUGUAACAUCCCGGCCUAGGGCUUAAUAGGAUUAAUAGAAUACUCAUAUCAACAAGUUGCAACUUAUUUUCCGGAUGAUGGGUUUCGUGUAAUUUUUGCCUUCUUUUUUUCCACUAUAUUCAAUGAAAUUGACACACCGGUGCCAGUUCAUUAAAAAGAAAAAAAAAUCUGUGACGGGUUUUAUACUUUAGAUCUUUUUCUGUUGCAGAUGAGCUGAAAAACUCUUAAAAUUGGAUAGCUCAAAUAUAUGUAAUAUGUAAUUGUAUUUCUAAAGCUAGAGCCAGAUCAAUCUGCACAUAUUUGUUUUAUGCUAUUCCAUCUAAUUUGUAACUGCUUUUGUUUCAUGUCAUAUAUGCAGUUGGUAAGGUGGUAUACAAUUUGAGCUAUGAUAUUUCAGACAGACUGAGGGCAUAUAGAAAGUUAAGCUUUCAGGUGCCAUGAUCCCAUUCGCUUUUCAAUUGAUUAAAUGGAAUUAUUUUGUUGGUAAUCUCUUAACAAAUACUAUGAGUGAUCCGGAUGUCAAGUGCCCAACUCCUAUGUAUGCUUGAUGCUUCCCUCAAUGCUCAUAUAUAUAAUUGGGUCAUCUUUUAGAUUUUGAACCAUCCACAUUAGGUGAAGGUUUAUUUUUGCUAAGGUAUGCAGCAAUCCAUGAUCUGGAAGCAUACAAUUUUAUGAAUUAUAGUAAUGAUGCCUAAUAAAUAUAUAAUUUUUCAGUCUUUUGUUUCUUUCA